GAACUUGACGCUCGCAUAAGGAUAAACUGGCAGAUUUAAAGCUCACUUGCAGGUCAUCUCCGGCCCCUUCUCAUUUUCUUCAGGCACUAUCAUUUGCGACGUAUCAGGUGGUCGAACACACUCAUUUGUUCCAUCCAGAGUCCGCCCUCAAUUAUUUGACAAGCUACACCGCACAAGUCAUCCCGAAGUUCAUGCCAACGAGCGCCUAAUUACUUCCCACUUUAUGUGGCCGAAUGUGAACUCUGACAUGUGCCGCUGGGCUCGUGAAUGCCUCGCUCUCUUACAGUGGCUGCGGCUUUGCCACUGGUUGGAUCUCGUGCUUCGGAUGCUGCAGCGUUGUUACAACCCAUCGAAGCCGACAGUUCAAAUGUGAUCUCUUAAGCGAACUCAUGUAACUGCUUGGCGUGUGCCAUAUUCCUACUACCGUGCAUCACCCAUCAGCAAAUGAAAUGGCUGAACGCCUUCACCAUCAACUUAAAGCUGCCUUGAUGGCCCAUCAGGCUCACUCUUCUUAGGCUGAAGGCCUUCUUCUCGUCCUGCUAGGCGUGCAUUCCUCUUUCUCAGAAGACCUUGGCUGCACAGCUGCGGUGUGGUCUAUGGCACAACACUGUGGUUGCCGGGUGAAUUUUCGAACCAGCUACUGCUGCCACGCCCGACCCAAGCAGCUAUGCUCACCAGCUCUGCUUCCAGAUUACAUGCUUGCGUCCUUGCCGUAGCAGAGUUUCAUCCUCUAGUAAUGUUUUUGUCAGCAUAGACAUGUCUAAAGCGAGCCACAUUUUCAUACAGCGUGAAAGCAUGCAAUCAUUUUUUUAUGCCUCCCUAUGACGGCCCUUUCAAGAUACUAAGCAGACAGAAAAAGCUGUUACCACCGACCUCAACGGACGUGAAGAAGCUGUGGCGAUAGACAGGGUCAAGCCAGCACAACCUCACCAUCAUUGUUCAUUUUCAACGACUUUACAACUGCUUAAAUGACGACUCUACCCAAUCCUACCUACCGUAUUAACCCAUCUUGCAUCAAAGGCAGUUUCUACCACCUACCUACCAUCUACCCAUCUGGCAUCAAAGGCAGUUUCUUGGCCACCACUGCUCUUUUCCUAAAAUGAGGGGGAGCCUUCUACAGCAGUCAUCAUCUUUCUCGGCUGCCUUCUAUAUAUGGCACACUCCGGCAUGUGUCUCGUACCUCGUGCUGCGAGCCUAGAAGAAAAAGGGAAUAAGAGAGCUGCUUCUGCUCCUGCUAUUGGUUUAAACGGUUCUCGAGUCUUUCACUCGCCAACUUGCUCUUUGUGGACCUAACCUUGGUCCCUUAAAUGCAUUUAUGUGUUGUCGCAUUAUACAAACUACUUUGGUCUUUUUCUGGUUAUCAGUAAUGUAUAAGUAAACAAGUAAAUCUUUAGCCAUUUCUUUCCUUGUGGGUCACAUUUCUCUGAACCACCAAAGUGAAUCCGACCUCUGCCAAACGCAGAUUCAGUGACGAGAACAUUGGCUCCAUGCAACACUACUCGUACCAGCCGUUUGGUGCUGGUCCCUGGAACUACAUUGGGAUGCGAUUUGCCCUGCAAGCCCUCAAGAUGUGCCUGCUCCAUGUUGUUCACAGUGUGGAACUAAUGUGAACAGAGAAAACAAAGGUCCCAUUGAAGAUGGUCGUGAGGUUUUCUCUGCUGACAGCUGAAGACAUCACCACUGGCAUGAGGAAGAGAAAAAGCCUGUGAAACCAACACCCUUAUGUGCUCCAGAUGCACAGCAGGAGUGGUGACGCCACCUUGGGCUGUGUUUUGAAACAUUGUUUCAUUUUUUAUUCUUUUUAGCCUUCGUCAUCAGAUGGAUCGACACGCCGCUGUCAUCGCACGGAUCGGCCAUUCGGCAUGCUGCAUCGUAAGAAAAGGACACAGUAAAUGAGCACAAAAAACACAACACAAAAGAAAUGGGCUGAGAACAAGCUUAGAAGUACACAGUGGCACUGCAAGUUCUUAUAAUGUCGUUUUCUCUUCCUGCAUUUUCAUUUUUCUGUGCGCUAUUGUCAUAGAUAAGUUCCAACUCACCAAUUUUCCAUCUUUGGGCAGUUCAUCGCUAGAUCCUCAGGCUAUUUUACAUGUGCUGAUCUUAUGAAAGAAUGGAAAAUGAAAUGUUAUACAGGCCCUGAUAACAUGUAAAACCUGUGCUUCCUUCAACUAAAAAUUGCGACUUCGGUGACACUAACUCGAGCUUCUUUCGUUUUCUGUGUGAAACAUUCCGAGUGAUACGUCGAAAUAAAAAUUAACAUUUUAAAAGU